AGAGCGAACGCUGGCGGCAGGCUUAACACAUGCAAGUCGAACGCUCGUAGCAAUACGGGAGUGGCAGACGGGUGAGUAACGCGUGGGAACAUACCCUCCGGUUCGGAAUAGCUCAGGGAAACUUGGAUUAAUACCGGAUACGGCUGAGAGGCGAAAGAUUUAUCGCCGGAGGAUUGGCCCGCGUUCGAUUAGCUAGUUGGUGAGGUAACGGCUCACCAAGGCGAUGAUCGAUAGCUGGUCUGAGAGGAUGAUCAGCCACAUUGGGACUGAGACACGGCCCAAACUCCUACGGGAGGCAGCAGUGGGGAAUAUUGGACAAUGGGCGCAAGCCUGAUCCAGCCAUGCCGCGUGAGUGAUGACGGCCUUAGGGUUGUAAAGCUCUUUCGCUCGGGACGAUAAUGACGGUACCGAGAUAAGAACGCCCCGGCUAACUUCGUGCCAGCACGCCGC
rnacentral:rRNA from 1 species